AGCAGCCGCGGUAAUUCCAGCUCCAAUAGCGUAUAUUAAAGUUGUUGCAGUUAAAAAGCUCGUAGUUGAAUUUCGGGGUCAGUAGGUUGGUCGUGCCACUGGUAUGUACUGGUCUCACUGAUUCCUCCUUCCUGAUGAACCGUAAUGCCAUUAAUUUGGUGUUGCGGGGAAACUGGACUGUUACUUUGAAAAAAUUAGAGUGUUUAAAGCAAGCUAACGCUUGAAUACAUUAGCAUGGAAUAAUGAAAUAGGACGAUCGAUCCUAUUUUGUUGGUUUCUAGGAUUGACGUAAUGAUUAAUAGGGAUAGUUGGGGGCAUUAGUAUUCAAUUGUCAGAGGUGAAAUUCUUGGAUUUAUUGAAGACUAACUACUGCGAAAGCAUUUGCCAAGGAUGUUUUCAUUAAUCAAGAACGAAAGUUAGGGGAUCGAAGACGAUCAGAUACCGUCGUAGUCUUAACCAUAAACUAUGCCGACUAGGGAUCGGAUGAUGUUAAUUUUUUAAUGACUCAUUCGGCGCCUUA
rnacentral:rRNA from 1 species